UUCCGAUCUUUAAGCUCGAUAGGGUCUUUUCGUCUGUUUAUCAAAAACAUCGCUCUUUGUGCCCACUAAAUAGAGAGUCGUGCCUGCCCAGUGAAUAUUUUUAACGGCCGCAGUACCCUGACUGUGCUAAGGUAGCAUAAUCACUUGCUUUUUAAUUGAAAGCUAGAAUGAAUGGCUUGACGUAAACACCCCUGUCUCUUUUACACUAUCUAAAAAUUAAUCUUUAGGUGAAGAAGCCUAAAUACUUUCAAAAGACGAAAAGACCCUAUCGAGCUUAAAAAAAAAANUAAACAAAAUUUUUAGAAAAACUAAAAUUAUAAUAAACUUUUGGUUGGGGCGACAGAAGAACAAAAAAAACUUCUUUUUAAAAAAAUAACAUAUUAGUUUUUUGAUCCACCACUAGUGAUUAAAAAAAAAGUUACCGUAGGGAUAACAGCGUAAUUUCUUCGGAGAGUUCAAAUUGAAAAAGAAGUUUGCGACCUCGAUGUUGGAUUAGAAAAUCUUUUUGGUGCAGCCGCUAUAAUAGAAGGUCUGUUCGACCUUUAAAUUUCUACAUGAUCUGAGUUCAAACCGGCGCAAGCCAGGUUGGUUUCUAUCUUUGAAAAUAAAUAUUAUGCUUUAGUACGAAAGGACCAAGCAGAACAAAAAUUUUGAUUGUU
rnacentral:rRNA from 1 species